AUGGCUUCGCCCUCCAAUAGCUUACAGGUGUGAUAAAUUGAAAAACUAUACAUAUGUUCCAAACUUUCAUUGCAAAAAUGGAUGCAAUGGAAUUGUAACCACGCCCUCCGAUUGUGCUCGAUACUACUACAAGGGCAAAAAUAAAUCGUCAUAAACUUAAAAUUUCGCGUUAGGGAGUCUUAGGGAUAGUUUGGAAACAAAUGAACAAAUGAUGUUGCAGUAGUAUAUCGCCAGUGCUAUCAAUCACAUUGUGUCAUACCAUAUGCUGUUGGAAAGAAUGCCACGGAAGCCACCAAUGAAG